AGAAGUGCCCACAUCCGGCCAAAUGGGGGCUCACCAGCUGCCCGUGGACGGAGUGGGAGGAGGCCCCCAGUCUCCAGGAGGCUCCAUGCCUCAGGCUCAGACCGGCAGCUCGGGAACCCAGCUAGCAGGAUGAACUCCAGCAGAGGAACUCAGCGCCAUUGCUGCGGCUGUGGGCCAGAAGAGAAAGAGAAAGAGAAAGAGAAUCCGCCUCGGUGUGACAAGCUGUGCCUCAGAACCCGAGCAGCAGGAGAGUGGGCAGCAGGGGGUGUCUGGCAGCAGAGAGGGGCUCAGGCCUGCUGGGUGGAGCGGCGCUGGGGGACACAGAGCCUGGUGGUAGGGAGACCUCCGGAUGGAGACAGCCCACAGUCCCGGAGCCCCAAGGCAGGCACCAGUGAGUCCCUCGUGACGGCCUCGCUCCCUGCAUCACAUGGAACCUCGUGACCCACGUGACGACGCCAGUGCCCCCGUGGCCCCUUCCUGCUGCUGGACGUGAUGCAGUCAAUGGAAGCCCAGCGUGGGCUCUCCCGGCACCAGCACCGCCAGGCCCUGUGCAGGACCCCAGGGUCAUCAGGAAGGAAAUGAGGCAGCCCAAGGAGGCGGGAGACGGGGCCCUACCCAGCACCCAGCCAUCUGCAUUGACACGGCUGCCCGCAGGAUAUCACUGCCCCCAUCCCGGGGCCCACCAUUACCAGCAGGGAGAGGGAGGCAGGUGAGCACCCCGAGCCCCACGCCUCCUGUCGCGGGGACUCCCCAGACCCAAUGCUGUGCCAGUGCAGGCCAGGCAGGGGGCUGAGGCCGAGGCCUGGUCAUUGCCAUCCUGGUCACGAUCUGGUGAAGGAUUUGAGUCCAGAAGCCAAACGUCUACAGUCGUGUGGUGCGGACACUCAGGAUGGACUGCCCAGGCCAUGGGGGGCUCUGAGGGAUGAAGAGGAAACUGCGGGGGCGAGGUGGGCUGCGCGUCUCUGAGAAAGUGUGUGAGUUGAGUGCUGCUGCAGAGGGAAGCUGGGGUCCACCGCUGGUGAGCGGGGAGGGGACGGGACACAGAACCGGCCGUGGCCCACCCCGAGACGGAGGCGCAGACACCAGGCCCGUUCUGUGCUCUGGAGGCUUUGGGCAGCUGUCAGGCUAGUGGACGGUGUGCAGAGCAGAUGGAGGCGUGAGGAGGCGGCUCCGGGGUCACCUAGGUUCAGCAGGGACAGAGCUCAGGGGGAAGGCACCUCCCGUCCUGGUUCAAUACAUGGACCCCUGACCCUGGGAAAGGGACUGAGCCAGGGGAGGCCUCAGGUCACUGCACCAUGAAGUUGUGGGGAGCUGCGGGGGCCUCUGGGCUCCGAGCUGGGCAGGCACAGCGUGGGGACCACGUGCCGAGGGGAAGAAGCGUGCCAGGGUGGACGUCUCAGUGCACACGCAGGAACAUGCAACGGCUGAGCCAGCCCAGAGAGGCAGCGGAGCGUGUGCGGGGCGGCCGGCGGAGGAGCAGCAGGAUCCCAGGCGGGAGCGCACGGCCUUUUCGGAGGCAGGUUCCAGGACAAUACUAAGCGUUUACAUCAUUGCACUAUUUGAUCCAGGAGGUCCCACUGUGGCGUUUCAUCGAUAAACGCACAUGCGAGGUGGAGGGUGGCUGGUGUGGAAUGUGCCCGGCAGCCUUCAUAGCAAAGGAGAAUUCUAGAACCAACCGAAGUGCCCCUCUGAAGGGAGCUGGUCCCGUCCGUUCCAGCCGCCGUGGAGUAACACAGCCAGCAGUUUCCCUCCUGCCACGAAAGCUCGAGACUGAAACUCAGGAUGAACUGUUUUCAGCCCGGGUCACCCCAGCCCUGGGGUGGAGGCCCAUUGAGGAUGGCCGAGCAGGGGCGGGCAUCCAGGCAGGUCCAGCAGUCCUGGCGGGCUGAGGAGAAGGAGGUCAGUGCUCAGGGAGACAUCCGCAGAGGGACCUGGCAGGCAGAGCUCCAGAAGGGAGGGAACUGCACAGACAGAAAGCUCCAGAAGGCUGCCUGAGGGCCUCUGAGGCCUCCGGAGUCAGGCGCCAUGGAUGUGGAAGGUGGACUCUUCAGCAUGGAUGGGACCCUAGGGGGCUGUGGACCCCCGGCCCCUGGGACUCACAGGUGGGAGACAGGAGUUCCAACCGCCAGGGGGAGAGUCCUGGAGGAUCCUGGGCUGUUGGCAGCCACCCAGCAGGGCCCGUCCUGGGAGUGGGGCUGGACUCUUCCUGCAGGAAAGGCUGGGCUGGACCUGCUCUGAGAGGCUUCAGAACCAGCCACACGAAGACCAAAGUGAAGAGCAAGGAGCUGAACUCCACGCAGAACACAGCGCAGCGUCCUUUAAAGGAAGGCCAAAAACAACCCAACAAAAAUGCCAGGUGAUCAAAGCGGUCACAGCACAAUGUCCACAUCCAACGAGAAAUUGCUACUACGUCCAGACGCAGGGAAAGGUGGCCGUGGGAACGUGAGUCAGCAGCAACAGGCCCAGAAGGGCAGCCACGGUGGACUUGUCAGACGUGGACCCUGAAAUGACAAUCACAGCAUGAUUUCAGGCAGGAGCCUGAAAUGGUACAGCUUUGGACAUCGGUUUGGCAAAUUCUUUUAGAGAGAAACACACACCUUCCCUAGGACCCAGCAACUCCACUCCUAAUAACCAAGUGAAAUGGAAGGAGUUGUCCUCAGCAAAACGUGUGUGCGGAAGUUCACAGUCACUUUCUCGGUGAUAACCAAGAGCUGGAAACCACUGCAACACCCACCAGCAGGUGAACGGAUUAACACACUGGGCUAGGGCCACACAAUGAGAUGCUCCGUGGCAACACAAAAUGAACCGUGGACACACACUGCACGGCGGAUGAAUAUGCAGACAUCAGGCCACGUGAAGGGAGCCAGGCCCCGAGGCGCCACGCUUUGUGAUUCAGGAAAGAAAGCACGCAGCCAAAGAGCGCAAAGAGGCUCAGAGGAGGCCCGGGUGCCCUGGAGAGACGCUGCGUCCUGACGACACAGCAUCCCUGUCCCGCAGCGGAGAUUUCCCAGAUGAAGGAUUCCCCGGCGGGAGACAGGGCCCUGCACACAGGUCCUCUGCCACGCUGCUCACCAUGCCUGUGUGUUAUCUCCCCAUGAAAAGUCACCUAGGCCGAGCAUGGUGGCUCACGCCUGUAAUCCCAGCACUUUGGGAGGUGGAGGCGUGCGGAUCAUCUGAGAUCAGGAGUUUGAGACCAUCCUGAGUAACAUGGUGAAACCCCGUCUCUAGGAAGAAUACAAAAAUUAACUGGGCAUGGUGUCAGGUGCCUUGUAAUCCCAGCUACUCGGGAGGCUGAGGCGGGAGAAUCGCUUGAACCUGGGUGGCGGAGGUUGCAGUCACAGCGUUUGCAGCGAAGCGGCUCCCAGAGCUGGGAGGAAAGCCCCGCCUGCAGCCAA
rnacentral:lncRNA from 1 species